rnacentral:lncRNA from 11 species
UUUCAAUACAUCAUAUUUUGGUGCUAAAUUCAUAAAUACAGUAAUUACUACAUAGCAUUACUGCAUAUUGAACUACUUUUUCUGUCAAAUUUGUUGUAUAACAUGAUGUUUUGGUGCUUAAUUUGUAAAAUCAUAACUUAAUUUGAUGUUUAAUAGGCUUUUCCUUAAUGCCUCCUUAUCAUCCAACAUAUUUGCUUAUCCAACAUUCUGCCGGCCCGUUUGUUGGAUAAGUGAGACUCUACUGUAAUUGCAACAUAACAUUACUGCAUAUUGAACUGCUUUUUCUGUCAAAUUUGUUGUAUAACAUGAUGUUUUGGUGCUUAAUUUGUAAAAUCAUAACCUAAUUUGAUGUUUAAUAGGCUUCUCCUUCAUCUCUCCUUAUUAUCCAACAUAUUCGCUUAUCCAAUGUUCUGCCGGCCCAUUUAUGUUGGUUAAGUGAGACUCUACUGUAUUAGAAAAACCAAAUGCUCCAUCUCAGCAAGCCCCGUUUCUACUAAAAGACUUCUCC